GACGUAGGGGGCGAGCGUUGUCCGGAUUUAUUGGGCGUAAAGCGCGCGUAGGCGGCCGUGCAAGUCGGAUGUGAAAACCCGGGGCUCAACCCCGGGCCUGCAUUCGAAACUGCGCGGCUAGAGGCAGGUAGGGGAGAUCGGAAUUCCUGGUGUAGCGGUGAAAUGCGCAGAUAUCAGGAGGAACACCGGUGGCGAAGGCGGAUCUCUGGGCCUGUCCUGACGCUCAGGCGCGAAAGCUAGAGGAGCGAACAGG
rnacentral:rRNA from 1 species